CGUGUAGGCGGUCAGGUUAGUGGGACGUGAAAUGCCCCGGCUCACCCGGGGACCUGCGUCCCAAACUGCCUGGCUUGAGUAUGGGAGAGGAUGAGGGAAUUCCUGGUGUAGCGGUGAAAUGCGUAGAUAUCAGGAGGAACACCGGUGGCGAAGGCGCUCAUCUGGCCCAAUACUGACGCUGAGGCGCGAAAGCUAGGGGAGCAAACGGGAUUAGAUACCCCGGUAGUCCUAGCCGUAAACGGUGAUCACUAGGUGUUGGAGGCAUAGACCCCUCCAGUGCCGUAGCUAACGCACUAAGUGAUCCGCCUGGGGAGUACGGCCGCAAGGUUGAA
rnacentral:rRNA from 1 species